GAUCCGGUGGCCUAGUGGUUACAGCAUCCGCCUCAGAUGUGGGAGGUUGUGUGUUCAAACCCAGGCUGAGUCA